GACGAACGCUGGCGGCGUGCUUAACACAUGCAAGUCGAACGGAACGGCCCUGCUUGCAGGGUACUCGAGUGGCGAACGGGUGAGUAACACGUGGGUGAUCUGCCUUGCACUUCGGGAUAAGCCUGGGAAACUGGGUCUAAUACCGGACAGGAGCUAUUUUUAGUGUGAUGGUUGGAAAGUUGUUUCGGUUUUGGGUGAGGUUGGGGCCUAGCAGCUUGUUGGUGGGGUAAUGGCCUACCGAGGCGGCGACGGGGAGCCGGACAGGGAGGGGGGGCGGGCACAGUGGAACUGGGAUACGGCCACGACCCCGACGGGUAGGGGAGGGGGGGAAGAUGGAAAAAGGAGCGCAGGCCAGAUGCAGCGACGCCGCGGGGGGGAUGACGACCUUCGGGUUGUAGACGCAUUUCGCUAGGAACGAAGCUUAUAGUGACGGUACCUAGAUAAUAAGCUCCGGCUAACUACGUG
rnacentral:rRNA from 1 species